GCUGCUGUAUCUUUUAAAAAAGCAAAAUCAACUCACAUUUAAGCACCAACUCCAUGCAAGUAACCUGAACGGUUCAGUCUUUUUGUCAUGUAUGUGGCCUUUGGUUCUCCAACUACAUGGGAUCUGUGUUGUUAGCUUAAAAAAUACAGAAUUGGCCUUUCAAAAAAAAAUAAUAAUCUACAGCAACCAAUAAAUAGUCUCAAACAACCCUGCUGACUGCAGCUGCCUUCUGAAGGCUGGGAAAAGGAGGUGGAGAUAGAGCAGAAAGAGGCAGGGAAAGGGGACGCUGCAGCUAGCUACAUAGCAAGGAACACGCCCCCAUCAUGUCCUCCUUGCUCUGUCAGAAGGCGGGUUGUUGUCAGUCUCCUGAUCAGGCUGCCUUAGAAACGAUUAAAAAAAAGGAGGCAGGAAGACUAACAACUAAAAAAUGCCAGCUCCUUGAAAGGAGGGGCCAGGGUCCUUGGGAUCUCCUCCCUCCCCUUCUUCCCAGGAUCUUUCCGUAAAUCUAAAGGGGUGCGGGGCACAAUAGGGGACAAGGGGUUUGCCCAGGAUAUUUUGUGUGCACCAACGGCAGAGCACGCAGGAAACGGCUGGUUGUUAUCUUUCCCUUUCUGUUUCAAUCAAGAGCACUCCAGAGCAGCAACCCCCUACCCCCCUUCGCUUCAGCCCCUAGCAGCUGCUCUUCCUCCUCCUAGCAUCCCCCAUGCCAUCCUCCCCCCUCUACAAUUCGAACUCCCCCCUUCUGCAUCCAAUGGAAAACAAAUGCGCAACGCCACUGGCUGAACCUGAACUCAACUUCCCUUCCUUGGGCAACUUUCCUUUUUGCUGAAGGGGGCCGAAUAAUGUUUAUAGAAGCAACUCCGUUCUUGCCCCAGUACUAAUGGGGAAGGGGCAACGCUCUGACCCUUCAUCCACCUUGGGUCCCCUUACAAGAAUCAGAGACAACCCCAAGUCCUUUCUAAGGAAUAACUUUGCUUGAUAAUCCUUUUUCUCCCAUCCCAAAGCAACCACCGCCACCACACUAAAGUAUAACUGUCCCUUAUCUACUCUCCUCACCCCAACCUGGCUUCCCCCACCCCUUCCAAGCCCCAGGAUUGGCCUAGGAAAAGGUGGAUCAAUAAUGAAAUGACGAGAAGAGAAGGGCGGGAUGGGGGAGGAUCGGUCUGCUUGGGGUGGGGGUAGAGGGUGGAGGUGAAGGAAGGGGGAGUGGCUGGCAGUAUAGGGACCUGGCCCGGGGAUGGCGCGAGGGUUCAUCGGGUUUUCGAAAGCAAGGUGCUGGAAGGGACACGAUCCCCAAGGGCCAGGAGAACGUGGCCCUGGAUGAGGCCAUCACCCGAGAGACGCCCGAGAGGAAAACUGCCCUAGGAGUAACACAUCUGCCCAGAGAGGGAGGCGGGGAUGUGGCGGGAUCAGGUCUCUAGGAGGGAGGGAGGGAGGAAUCUUGCUCGGAUGAGGUAAUCUGUGAAAGGGAGGAGGGGUUCAGUCCCGGGAUG
rnacentral:lncRNA from 1 species